AGUGAACGCUGGCGGCAGGCCUAACACAUGCAAGUCGAGCGGCAGCGGGUCCUUCGGGAUGCCGGCGAGCGGCGGACGGGUGAGGAAUGCAUCGGAAUCUGCCCUGUCGUGGGGGAUAACCUAGGGAAACUUAGGCUAAUACCGCAUACGACCCACGGGUGAAAGCGGGGGAUCGCAAGACCUCGCGCGAUAGGAUGAGCCGAUGUCCGAUUAGCUAGUUGGCGGGGUAAAGGCCCACCAAGGCGACGAUCGGUAGCUGGUCUGAGAGGAUGAUCAGCCACACUGGGACUGAGACACGGCCCAGACUCCUACGGGAGGCAGCAGUGGGGAAUAUUGGACAAUGGGCGCAAGCCUGAUCCAGCCAUGCCGCGUGGGUGAAGAAGGCCUUCGGGCUGUAAAGCCCUUUUGUCCGGGAAGAAAUCGUCUGGGCUAAUACCCCGGGCGGAUGACGGUACCGGAAGAAUAAGCACCGGCUAACUUCGUG
rnacentral:rRNA from 1 species